UACGGGGGGAGCAAGCGUUGUUCGGAUUGACUGGGCGUAAAGGGCGCGUAGGCGGCGCAACAAGUCACUUGUGAAAUCUCCGGGCUUAACCCGGAGCGGCCAAGUGAUACUGUCGUGCUAGAGUGCGGAAGGGGCUACUGGAAUUCUCGGUGUAGCGGUGAAAUGCGUAGAUAUCGAGAGGAACACCUGCGGCGAAGGCGGGUAGCUGGGCCGACACUGACGCUGAGGCGCGAAAGCCAGGGGAGCGAACGGG
rnacentral:rRNA from 1 species